CGGCGGACGGGUGAGUAACACGUGGAUAACCUACCUAUAAGACUGGGAUAACUUCGGGAAACCGUAGCUAAUACCGGAUAAUAUAUUGAACCGCAUGGUUCAAUAGUGAAAGACGGUUUUGCUGUCACUUAUAGAUGGAUCCGCGCCGCAUUAGCUAGUUGGUAAGGUAACGGCUUACCAAGGCAACGAUGCGUAGCCGACCUGAGAGGGUGAUCGGCCACACUGGAACUGAGACACGGUCCAGACUCCUACGGGAGGCAGCAGAA
rnacentral:rRNA from 1 species